AUUGAACGCUGGCGGCAUGCCUUACACAUGCAAGUCGAACGGCAGCACGGGAGCAAUCCUGGUGGCGAGUGGCGAACGGGUGAGUAAAGUAUCGGAACGUGCCCAGUCGUGGGGGAUAACGUAGCGAAAGUUACGCUAAUACCGCAUACGAUCUAUGGAUGAAAGCGGGGGAUCGCAAGACCUCGCGCGAUUGGAGCGGCCGAUAUCAGAUUAGGUAGUUGGUGGGGUAAAGGCUCACCAAGCCGACGAUCUGUAGCGGGUCUGAGAGGACGACCAGCCACGCUGGGACUGAGACACGGCCCAGACUCCUACGGGGGGCAGCAGUGGGGAAUUUUGGACAAUGGGGGCAAGCCUGAUCCAGCCAUGCCGCGUGCAGGAUGAAGGCCUUCGGGUUGUAAACUGCUUUUGUACGGAACGAAAAGGUUUGACUUAAUACGUUGGACUCAUGACGGUACCGUAAGAAUAAGCACCGGCUAACUACGUGCCAGCAGCCGCAGUAAAAC
rnacentral:rRNA from 1 species